rnacentral:rRNA from 1 species
CCUACGGGAGGCAGCAGUGAGGGAUAUUGGUCAAUGGGGGAAACCCUGAACCAGCAACGCCGCGUGAGGGAAGACGGUUUUCGGAUUGUAAACCUCUGUCCUCUGUGAAGAUAAUGACGGUAGCAGAGGAGGAAGCUCCGGCUAACUACGUGCCAGCAGCCGCGGUCAUACGUAGGGAGCGAGCGUUGUCCGGAUGUACUGGGUGUAAAGGGUGCGUAGGCGGCCCUGCAAGUAAGAAGUGAAAUCCAUGGGCUUAACCCGUGAACUGCUUUUGAAACUGCAGGACUUGAGUGGCGUAGAGGUAGGCGGAAUGCCCGGUGUAGCGGUGAAAUGCGUAGAGAUCGGGAGGAACACCAGUGGCGAAGGCGGCCUACUGGGCUUUAACUGACGCUGAAGCACGAAAGCGUGGGUAGCAAACAGGAUUAGAUACCCCAGUAGUC